GAUGAACGCUGGCGGCGUGCCUAAUACAUGCAAGUCGAGCGAACAGACGAGGAGCUUGCUCCUCUGACGUUAGCGGCGGACGGGUGAGUAACACGUGGAUAACCUACCUAUAAGACUGGGAUAACUUCGGGAAACCGGAGCUAAUACCGGAUAAUAUAUUGAACCGCAUGGUUCAAUAGUGAAAGACGGUUUUGCUGUCACUUAUAGAUGGAUCCGCGCCGCAUUAGCUAGUUGGUAAGGUAACGGCUUACCAAGGCGACGAUGCGUAGCCGACCUGAGAGGGGGAUCGGCCACACUGGAACUGAGACACGGUCCAGACUCCGACGGGAGGCAGCAGUAGGGAAUCUUCCGCAAUGGGCGAAAGCCUGACGGAGCAACGCCGCGUGAGUGAUGAAGGUCUUCGGAUCGUAAAACUCUGUUAUUAGGGAAGAACAAAUGUGUAAGUAACUAUGCACGUCUUGACGGUACCGAAGCAGAAAGCCACGGCUAACUACGU
rnacentral:rRNA from 1 species